rnacentral:misc_RNA from 1 species
GAUGAAGAACGCAGCGAAAUGCGAUACGUAAUGUGAAUUGCAAAUUCAGUGAAUCAUCGAGUCUUUGAACGCACAUUGCGCCCCCUGGUAUUCCGGGGGGCAUGCCUGUCCGAGCGUCAUUGCUGCCCUCAAGCACGGCUUGUGUGUUGGGCCCCGUCCUCCGAUUCCGGGGGACGGGCCCGAAAGGCAGCGGCGGCACCGCGUCCGGUCCUCGAGCGUAUGGGGCUUUGUCACCCGCUCUGUAGGCCUGGCCGGCGCUUGCCGAUCAACCCAAAUUUUUAUCCAGGUUGACCUCGGAUCAGGUAGGGAUACCCGCUGAACUUAAGCAUAUCAAUAAGCGGAGGA